GACGAACGCUGGCGGCGUGCUUAACACAUGCAAGUCGAACGAUGAACCCGGAGCUUGCUCCGGUGGAUUAGUGGCGAACGGGUGAGUAACACGUGAGUAACCUGCCCUUGACUCUGGGAUAACUGCGGGAAACUGUAGCUAAUACCGGAUACGACCCUCGGCGGCAUCGCCAGGGGGUGGAAAGAAUUUCGGUCAAGGAUGGACUCGCGGCCUAUCCGCCAGUUGGUGAGGGAACGGCUCACCAAGGCGACGACGGGCAGCCGGCCUGGGAGGGUGACCGGACACACUGGGACUGAGACACGGCCCAGACGCGUACGGGAGGCAGCGGUGGGGAAUGGUGCACAAGGGGCGCAAGCCUGAUGCAGCAACGCCGCGUGAGGGAUGACGGCCUCCGGGUUGUAAACCUCUUUUAGUAGGGAAGAAGCGAAAGUGACGGUACCUGCAGAAAAAGCACCGGCUAACUACGUGCCAGCCGCCGCCGUAACAC
rnacentral:rRNA from 1 species